GCGUCUGGCAGCAGUCUCUAUACUCUCUCGGAUGUUAUGCCAUAUGGUCUUCUUCAUACUUGGAUGAUCCACUACAGGAUCGACCUCAGGCAUUCCAAUCCGGCAUUGAAUAUGCGAAAACGAAUUGCACCGAAGCCGA